rnacentral:rRNA from 1 species
CCUACGGGUGGCAGCAGUGGGGGAUAUUGCACAAUGGGGGGAACCCUGAUGCAGCGACGCCGCGUGGGUGAAGGAGUGCUUCGGCAUGUAAAGCCCUAUCGGCAGGGAAGAAGCAAGACGGUACCUGACUAAGAAGCCCCGGCUAACUACGUGCCAGCAGCCGCGGUAAUACGUAGGGGGCGAGCGUUAUCCGGAUUCACUGGGUGUAAAGGGAGCGUAGACGGCCAUGCAAGCCAGGGGUGAAAGCCCGGGGCCCAACCCCGGGACUGCCCUUGGAACUGCAUGGCUGGAGUGCGGGAGGGGCAGGCGGAAUUCCUGGUGUAGCGGUGAAAUGCGUAGAGAUCGGGAGGAACACCAGUGGCGAAGGCGGCCUGCUGGGCUUUAACUGACGCUGAAGCACGAAAGCGUGGGUAGCAAACAGGAUUAGAUACCCGAGUAGUC